ensembl:lncRNA
CAGAGACCUAACCAUCUUCUCCCCAGUUCAGCUCUUCUCUAAGAUACCUAUCUCCAUAGGCUACUUUGUCUUCUAAUCAUCAUAUUUUCCACUAUGGACUUUACUUACUUCUGCACGGUCUGUGUCAUCAAAGACUGUCAACUGCCUCACAACCUUUUUAUAUAAAAUUGUUAUAUAAUUAUUUUAAUCAGAUUGAUACAUGUCAGAACACAUAAACCAAAUUAUUAUAAGAUUGAUGCCUAUCAGAACCCACUAACCCAAUUAGACUUUACUGGAUCUGGCUGAGAAUAAUUUUGACCAAAAUUAUUUUUUGAUGAAAAAAAGUCUUUAAGGAGAAAUAUAUAAUCCCGAUUUGGAAGAGAUAUUAGCCUGUGAGGAUUUCAGAGGGUGUUAGAAAUAUAGCCUAGAAGAGAUAAACUCACAGCUUUUCAUGAGUUGGAAUUAACUAUAAUAUCUUCACUUCCUUUUAAAAUACUAAUUUGCUUAAAUAGUAUAUCAAAUACCUCUUCUAUGCCAUUUUCUAUCCAUUCUGCAUCAUCUUUCUUUGGUGUUUUUGGCCAUUGUCUCCAGCCUUGUCAUUGUGGCUCAUUAACUGACUCUGGAUGGUCUUCAAAUGGUGUCACAUACACAAAACAUGUUUUAUCCUAUGCCCACAACACACACCUCUUAUUCCCUGCAUGGGGCUUACCUCGUGAUGCUGAAGUGUGAGAUGUUAAGGGACAUGCUCAGUGCCUACAACUUGAAUGCAAGGGGAAAUUUACACCCCACAGAUAAAUUUCAGACAGUAGUAUACUAGACUACUAACAGAACAAAUUAUUCUCACUUCCUUCCCAAUUAUCAUUUAAGUAGCAGUCUUUAUAUUUUUUAGAAGAUAGUCCUAGGAGAUCAAGCAAGCCGUUGUGCAUAUAGUCUAAGUGCAUGCAAUUUUGCAAUACACUCUUAAGCUAGCUCUCCCUCCUCUCCUGCUGCAUUCCCCUUUCCCCUAACUCAGGCUCUCUAGGUUUGCACUCCCUAAUAAGGUGGAAGUCCAUGAUUCAGACUUGGAUAAAUAGGCAAUCCAGGCUAAUACGAGUAUAUUGCCUCUCCCACAAAUAGCCUGAGAUUAUUUAGAAGAAAUGGCUUAGAGAACAAAAUCAUUUGAAGACUGCCAAGGCUAAUAAGAUGGGGAUGGGAGGUAGUGGGGUUGGGAAAAGUUGCUUUGGAAAGAAAAUUUUGUAAGCAUACUGUUUAUGAGAGAAAUUAUGUACCUAUGUUGAUUAACUAUAGUUGAAAGGGAACUAAUCUGCCAGUGAUGCCAAAGUAUGGAAUGUUUAUGGAAGCUUUGUGUAUUCAGCACCAAAUUGCUUAUGUUUACAUUACCUUAUACAGAGGCAUCAAAUUUGAUGCCUUCAUUGACUAGAGGUAAUGGCAAAGUCCAGAGCUAAAGCCAGAUUGCCUUUUCAGAGUAAAUUUUAUGUCUUCAAACUAUCAAUCACAUGAGUGAACAUAAAUCAAAAAAAUAGAAAAGGCAAUUUCAUGUAACAAAAUAAUUGGCAGGGAGUGGUGUCAAUGUGUUCGCAAACAUCAUUAUCCAACAAGUUUGCACAUUAUGAAUUAUCUUUGAUUUAUUUGCCUGGGAUAUGUGAUGUUAUUGAGAUUUUAGACACAUCUAUUUUUUUUACCACUAUCUUUUUGAAAUGUUCUAAGACUGCUUACUUGUGUAAGUUAGUGAGAAAAUACAAUUAAAUGAACUUUAAUGAAAAACAAUUCAGGCUUUGAAACUUGAGCGUCUUCUUGUAUUAUAUUUGAAAGAUUCACUAUAGUAAAAAUUUAAUACUUAUAAAUUUAUGCUUAUAUGGAAAAGUAUGUCUCUCAUUUUCCUGGCUGCUAAAAUUAAAUAUAGCACACUCUUUAAAAACUUUAUAUGAGAAACAUAGAGUUGAAUAGCUUUAAAGAACAAAUGUUCUGAUUUCUAGUAAAAAAAAAUCUUAUAUAGAAAGCCAUUCAUAAUUCCAGUCAUACUGAAAUACAUUAUUUCAAUUAAUCUUGGCUUUUAAAAAUUAAGAUUAAAUUUACUCUAAAAUGAAAGUAUCAAGUAAAUUGGACAGAAAGUAAUUUUUCAAGAAAAAAAAAGGUAUCCUACAUUUUAAAUUUCUGUCAAGUCUUUUUUUUUUUUUUUCUUUACAGCAAGGGGGUCAGGUUAUCCUUACAAGUAUAUAUUGCAAUUACAUUUUUCCCCCACCCUUUCUUCUGUUGCAACAUGAGUAUCUAGACAUAGUUCUCAAUGCUAUUCAGCAGGAUCUCCUUGUAAAUCUAUUCUAGGUUGUGUCUGAUAAGCCCAAGCUCCCGAUCCCUCCCACUCCCUCCCCCUCCCAUCAGGCAACCACAAGUCUCUUCUCCAAGUCCAUGAUUUUCUUUUCUGAGGAGAUGUUCAUUUGUGCUGGAUAUUAGAUUCCAGUUAUAAGUGAUAUCAUAUGGUAUUUGCCUUUGUCUUUCUGGCUCAUUUCACUCAGUAUGAGAUUCUCUAGUUCCACCCAUGUUGCUGCAAAUGGCAUUAUGUCAUCCUUUUUUAUGGCUGAGUAGUAUUCCAUUGUGUAUUAUAUACCACUUCUUCCUAAUCCAAUCAUCUGUCGAUGGACAUUUGGAUUGUUUCCAUGUCCUGGCUAUUGUGAAUAGUGCUGCAAUGAACAUGCGGGUGCAUGUGUCUCUUUUAAGUAGAGCUUUGUCCGGAUAGAUGCCCAAGAGUGGGAUUGCAAGUCUUAAUAUUAACCUUAUUGAGACAGUAUUUGGCUUGAUAAAGGCCCCGUGUAACUUACCUUCCAGUCACGCAAAAGGUGGCAUGUACUACUAGGAAAAUAUUUUAAAUUUUAUGUAUUUAACAGGUAAAAAUAAUUGGACAAAAUAUAAAAAGCACCAACGCUAAAGUAAAAAAAUGAUAAAUUGUAUUUUAUCAACAUUUAAAAUACUUUCUUACCAAAAGACAAAGAAUAAUCCAUACACUGUGAAAUAUACUCAGAAUACAUAGAUUGCAAAAAAAACUUAUAUCCAGAAUACAUACAUUAUCCUAUAAAUAAACUAUAUAUAGAUGGAUAAUCCAGUAAAAAUAAAUGACAAAAACUUGAAAAGGCAUAUCACAAAAGGUAAGUGAAUAAUCAGCAAAUAUAUUAAAAAUGAUCAACAUUUUUAUUAAUAGUCACUGAGCACAUGUACAAUAAAGCAACAAGAUACUCUUCACACUCUAGAAAUGCUAACCAAAGGGAAUCAAAAACAAAAACUUAAAAAUAAAAUGUUAUAAAGCAUGUGGCCAGUUGGAACUCUCAAAAAUCUCAGUUGGGAGUUAUAUGGAGUUAACUAGAGCUGUCAAAACAAAACACUACAAAGUGGAAGCUUAAACAACAGAAAUCUCUGGUCUCAGUUUUGGAGGCUGGAAGUGUAAGUAAGUAAGAGUGUUGGCAGCAUUGGUUCCUUUAAAGGGCUGUGAGAAAAGGAUUUCUUUCAGGCUUCUCUCUGGCUUAUAGAUGGCCAUCUUCAUCUUAUGGCAUUCUUCCUCUAUGUGUAUGGCUCUUUCCAAAUUCCUCCUUUUAAUGGGGAUACCAGUCAUAUCAGAUUAGGACCCACCCAAUGACCUCAUUUUAACUUAACUCAUUAUACCUGAAACAACUCUGUUUCUAAAGAAAAUUGCAUUCUGAAGUAAUGAGGGUUAGAACUCAACAUACAGAGAUUUUGGAGGUACACAAUUCAACCCAUAACAGGUAGCACAAUAAUGGUAAAACCACUUUGUAGAAUUGCUUUAGUUAAAUAUAUCUCUACACCACAAUCCAACAAUUUUACAGUUUAGAUAUCAACUCAAGAUAAGUGAAAUCAUAUUUUGCCCAAAAGACUUGUAUAAAAAUGUUUGUAACAGCUGUAUUCAUAAUAGCUGAAAGUUGGAAAUAAUCCCAAAUAUCCAUCAACUAGAAAAAGGGUUAAACAAACUAUGAAAUAUCCAUAUAAUUAAAUAUUACUCAGCAAUUAAAAUGAAUGAAGUAAUGCAACAACAUGCAUUAUUGCAAAAUCAUUAUGUUAAGUAGAUAAGUCAGGGACAAGAGUUCAACUCCUAUGAUUUGAUUUAUGAUUAUGAAAUUCAGGAACAAAGUUAAUCUAUCAUAUUAGAAAUUUGAAAGUGGUUUCCUGAAGAAUGAAAGAGAAUGAUUAAAAAGGCAAAAGGGAAUGUUCUGAGGGAUGAAAAUAUUCUUAGUUUUAUUUUGGAUGGUGAUCACACUGUUAUACAAUUGUAAGCACUCAGCAAAUUGAAUACUUAAGUGUAGCGUAUUUUAUUAUGUUGAUUAGAGCUAAAUUACACACAAAUGCAUAUAUAUAUAUACACUUAUACAAAUACAUAUAAAUGUAUGCUAACUUAUACUAGAACUGACCUUGUUACUAACUCCAUGUUGCUAAAAUUUAAAUAUGAAAGAAUAAUAUUAGGAUUAAAAAUGCAAAUAAUGGUUGACAUUUUCUGCUUUAAGUUUGUUUCAUAAUAAAAUUUUGUACCAAGAAAAUAAUCAGUGAACCAAAGUGAAGUUCAAGAUUGUAUAACAAGGGAAAUUUAUGACUCUUUUUAAAAUUCUAACAUUCAAGAUUUUUCUUUUUUUUUCUUUGUCUUUUUGUCUUUUUAGGGCUGUACCCUUGGCAUAUGGAUGAUCCAAGGCUAGGGGUCGAAUCAGAGGUGUAAUUGCCGGCCUAUACCAGAGCCAUAGCAACACAGGAUCUGAGCCACCGUCUGCAACCUACACCACAGCUCACAGCAACACUGGAUCCUUAGCCCACUGGGUGAGGCCGGGGAUCAAACCCACAUCCUCAUGCAUACUAGCCAGGUUUGCUAACUGCUGAGCCAUGUCCAUAACUGCUUUUUUUUCUUUUUUUAGGAAAGCCUGUUUCCUAUGAAUUUCCCUCUAAGAACUGCUUUUGGGGUAUCCCAUAGAUUUUGAGUGGUUGUGUUUUCAUUAUAAUUUGUCUUUAGGCAUUUUUAAAUUUCCCUUUUGAUUUCCUUGUUGACCCAUUGGCUUUUUUGGUAGCAUGUUGUUUAGUCUCCAUGUAGUAAGUGUUUUUCUCAUUUCUUUUCCUAUGGUUGAUUUCUCAUUUCAUGCCAUUGUGGCCAGAGAAGAUGUUUGAAAUAAUGUAUAUACUCCUAAAUUUGUUGUGGUUAGUUUUGUGCCCAAGUAUGUGGGACAAUCCUUUGAGAAUGUUCUGUGCACACUUGAAAAGAAUGUAUAUUCUGAUUUUUUUAAAUGUAAUGUCAUGAAAAUACCAAUUAAGUCUAACUUUUCUAUUGUGUCAUUUAGUAUCUCUGUUGCCUUAUUGAUUUCCUGUCUAGAGGAUCUGUCCAUUGACGUGAGUGGUGUUUUAAAGUCUACUAUUAUUGUAUUCCCAUCACUUUCUCCUUUUAUGGCUGUUAGUAUUUGUUGUAUACACUUGGGUGCUGCUAUGUUAAGGGCAUAUAUAUAUCGAUGAGUGUAAUAUCCUCUUCUUGAAUUGCUCCUUUUUUCAUUGAGUGGUGUCCUUCUUUUUCUUUCUUUAUGGCCUUUGUUUUAAAGUCUAUUUUGUCUGAUAUGAGUAUUGCAACCCCUGCUUUCCUGUCUUUUCCAUUUCUCACUUUCAAUUUAUAUGUGUCCUUUGCCCCGAGGUGAGUCUCUUGUAGACAGCAUUUUGUAGGCUCUUGUUUUUUUUUUAUCCAGUCUGCCACUCUAUGUCUUUUGACUGGAACAUUCAGUCCACUGACAUUUAAAGUGACAUAAAACCAAGAGCUGGUUCUUUGAAAGGGUAAACAAAAUAGACAAACCUCUGGUCAGAUUCUCCAUGAAGAGGAGAGAAAGAACUCAAACAAAAUAGGAAAUGAAAAAGGAGAAAUUUCAACAGAUACUGCAGAAAAAAAAAUAAUAAGAGAAUACUAUGAAUAAUUAUAUGCCCACAGAUUUAACAAGCUAGAAGAAAUGUAUCACUUUCUAGAGCCUACCAAAAAUGAAUCAAUAAGAAGUAGAUCAAUUGAACAGACCCAUCACUAGAAAUGAAAUUAGAUAUGUAUAAAAUGUUUUUAUUUUAUUUUAAAGUCCAGAACCAGAUGGCUUCACAAGUGAAUUCUACUAAACAUACAUAUAAGAACUUAUACCCAUCCCUCUUAGAGUUUUUCAAAAGGUUUAAGAAAAAAAGAAUAAUCCCAAAGACAUUCUAUGAAGCCACCAUCACCCUAAUACCAAAACCAAAGAUACUACCAAAAAAGAAAAUUAUAGGCCAAUAUUUUUGAUGAAUAUAGAUGCAAAAAUUCUAAAGAAAAUUUUAGCCAGCUGAAUUCAACAACAUAUAAAAAAGAUCAUACACCACAACUAAGUGGGAUUCAUCCCAAUUUCACAAGGAUGGCUCAACAUAUGCAAGUCAAUUUCAAUUAAUGUCAUAGACCACAUUAACAAAA